GUUUUUUUGUUGCUGUGUUUUUUUACAAGGUAGAAGCGUGUCUUACUUUUAUACAGCAAUUUGUGUUCGGCAGUGAUGUUAUUGCACUUCAAACCCGGCUUGGAGAGCAGAAAACACACUGCUGCCAAGUCCACACACACCCUCUCCACAUCGCACGCGAGCUGGCUGUGGUAUGUGUCUGGUAAGGGGUGUGUAGGUGGUUGAGGUUUGGGGGUAGGGUGUGUAUGUGGGGGUACUGUAUGUGUUAGUGAGGGUGUGUAUGUGGGGGUUUAGUGUGUAUGUGUGUGCUGGGUAGAGGGGUGUGUACAUGCAUGUGCUUGUGAAGUGUACGUUUGUAGUGUAAAGGGGUGUGUGUUGGUCAGGUGAAGUGUGUUUGUAGUGUAAAGGGGUGUGUGUUGGUCAGGUGAAGUGUGUUUGUAGUGUAAAGGGGUGUGUGUUGGUCAGGUGGAGUGUGUUUGUAGUGUAAAGGGGUGUGUGUUGGUCAGGUGGAGUGUGUUUGUAGUAUAAAGGGGUGUGUGUUGGUCAGGUAGAGUGUGUUUGUAGUAUAAAGGGGUGUGUGUUGGUCAGGUGGAGUGUGUUUGUAGUAUAAAGGGGUGUGUGUUGGUCAGGUAGAGUGUGUUUGUAAUGUAAAGGGGUGUGUGUUGGUCAGGUGGAGUGUGUUUGUAGUAUAAAGGGGUGUGUGUUGGUCAGGUAGAGUGUGUUUGUAGUGUAAAGGGGUGUGUGUUGGUCAGGUAGAGUGUGUUUGUAGUAUAAAGGGGUGUGUGUUGGUCAGGUGGAGUGUGUUUGUAGUGUAAAGGGGUGUGUGUUGGUCAGGUGGAGUGUGUUUGUAGUAUAAAGGGGUGUGUGUUGGUCAGGUAGAGUGUGUUUGUAGUAUAAAGGGGUGUGUGUUGGUCAGGUAGAGUGUGUUUGUAGUAUAAAGGGGUGUGUGUUGGUCAGGUAGAGUGUGUUUGUAGUGUAAAGGGGUGUGUGUUGGUCAGGUGGAGUGUGUUUGUAGUAUAAAGGGGUGUGUGUUGGUCAGGUAGAGUGUGUUUGUAGUGUAAAGGGGUGUGUGUUGGUCAGGUAGAGUGUGUUUGUAGUAUAAAGGGCUGUGUGUUGAUCAGGUGGAGUGUGUUUGUAGUGUAAAGGGGUGUGUGUUGGUCAGGUGGAGUGUGUUUGUAGUAUAAAGGGGUGUGUGUUGGUCAGGUAGAGUGUGUUUGUAGUAUAAAGGGGUGUGUGUUGGUCAGGUGGAGUGUGUUUGUAGUAUAAAGGGGUGUGUGUUGGUCAGGUAGAGUGUGUUUGUAGUGUAAAGGGGUGUGUGUUGGUCAGGUAGAGUGUGUUUGUAGUAUAAAGGGCUGUGUGUUGAUCAGGUGGAGUGUGUUUGUAGUGUAAAGGGGUGUGUGUUGGUCAGGUGGAGUGUGUUUGUAGUAUAAAGGGGUGUGUGUUGGUCAGGUAGAGUGUGUUUGUAGUAUAAAGGGGUGUGUGUUGGUCAGGUAGAGUGUGUUUGUAAUAUAAAGGGCUGUGUGUUGGUCAGGUGGAGUGUGUUUGUAGUAUAAAGGGGUGUGUGUUGGUCAGGUAGAGUGUGUUUGUAGUAUAAAGGGGUGUGUGUUGGUCAGGUAGAGUGUGUUUGUAGUAUAAAGGGGUGUGUGUUGGUCAGGUAGAGUGUGUUUGUAGUGUAAAGGGGUGUGUGUUGGUCAGGUGGAGUGUGUUUGUAGUAUAAAGGGGUGUGUGUUGGUCAGGUAGAGUGUGUUUGUAGUAUAAAGGGGUGUGUGUUGGUCAGGUAGAGUGUGUUUGUAGUAUAAAGGGGUGUGUGUUGGUCAGGUAGAGUGUGUUUGUAGUGUAAAGGGGUGUGUGUUGGUCAGGUGGAGUGUGUUUGUAGUGUAAAGGGGUGUGUGUUGGUCAGGUGGAGUGUGUUUGUAGUAUAAAGGGGUGUGUGUUGGUCAGGUAGAGUGUGUUUGUAGUAUAAAGGGGUGUGUGUUGGUCAAGUGAA